rnacentral:rRNA from 1 species
UCGGGAAUUUUGGGCAAUGGGCGAAAGCCUGACCCAGCAACGCCGCGUGAGGGAUGAAGUAUUUCGGUAUGUAAACCUCGAAGGAAUGGGAAGAAUAAAUGACGGUACCAUUUAUAAGCUCCGGCUAACUACGUGCCAGCAGCCGCGGUAAUACGUAGGGAGCAAGCGUUGUUCGGAUUUACUGGGCGUAAAGGGCGCGUAGGCGGCGCGGUAAGUCACUUGUGAAAUCUCUGAGCUUAACUCAGAACGGCCAAGCGAUACUGCUGUGCUAGAGUGCGGAAGAGGCAACCGGAAUUCUUGGUGUAGCGGUGAAAUGCGUAGAUAUCAAGAGGAACACCUGAGGCGAAGGCGGGUUGCUGGGCCGACACUGACGCUGAUGCGCGAAAGCCAGGGGAGCAAACG